rnacentral:lncRNA from 1 species
AAGGAGCAUAAGAAGAAAGAAAGAAAAUAUUAAUAGCUUGCAACUAAGUAAGUCCUUAAAAUUUUUCAAUUAUUCUUUCUUUGAAAUUUUAAAAAAUUACUUGAAUACAAGGAGUGGGAGCUAGGAGUAGGAGGGUAGAAUCUAAGAGAAAGAUGCAAGAGAGGUAAGUCUCCAAUCUCUCUUGUAGAUGUAGAUGGGAGAAGGUAGAUAGAAUCUUUAAUCCAUUAUCCUUAAAUCUUAAAUCCUUACUUAGAACGUGUAGUUGAGAUCGGUUAGGGAAGAAGUCACGUAUUCUAGAAGUUUGUUAACAAGUGACAUGUUGACUAGAGAUGCAGCUAGGUGAGUUCGUCUUGAAUGUGGUGUGAAUUAUUUGCAAGGAAUUAUUUUUUUAAUAUUGUCGU